rnacentral:rRNA from 1 species
UACGGAGGGUGCAAGCGUUGUCCGGAAUCAUUGGGCGUAAAGCGCGUGUAGGCGGCUCGGUAAGUCUGCUCUGAAAGUCCAAGGCUCAACCUUGGGAUGCGGGUGGAUACUGCCGGGCUCGAGUCCGGAAGAGGCGAGUGGAAUUCCUGGUGUAGCGGUGAAAUGCGCAGAUAUCAGGAGGAACACCAAUGGCGAAGGCAGCUCGCUGGACGUUACUGACGCUGAGACGCGAAAGCGUGGGAGCAAACAGG